rnacentral:rRNA from 1 species
CAAAGAUUAAGCCAUGCAUGUCUCAGUACAAGCCAAAUUAAGGUGAAACCGCGAAAGGCUCAUUAAAUCAGUUAUGGUUCCUUAGAUCGUACCCACAUUUACUUGGAUAACUGUGGUAAUUCUAGAGCUAAUACAUGCAAACAGAGCUCCGACCGGAGACGGAAGGAGCGCUUUUAUUAGAUCAAAACCAAUCGGUGGCGGGUCUCCCGUCACCGUACACCUUGGUGACUCUGAAUAACUUGUUGCUGAUCGCACGGUCUCGCACCGGCGACGCAUCUUUCAAAUGUCUGCCUUAUCAACUGUCGAUGGUAGGUUCUGCGCCUACCAUGGUUGUAACGGGUAACGGGGAAUCAGGGUUCGAUUCCGGAGAGGGAGCCUGAGAAACGGCUACCACAUCCAAGGAAGGCAGCAGGCGCGCAAAUUACCCACUCCCGGCACGGGGAGGUAGUGACGAAAAAUAACGAUACGGGACUCAUCCGAGGCCCCGUAAUCGGAAUGAGUACACUCUAAACCCUUUAACGAGGAUCAAUUGGAGGGCAAGUCUGGUGCCAGCAGCCGCGGUAAUUCCAGCUCCAAUAGCGUAUAUUAAAGUUGUUGCGGUUAAAAAGCUCGUAGUCGAAUUUGUGUCCCGCGCCGCCGGUUCAUCGCUCGCGGUGUCAACUGGCGUGUCCGCGGGACGUCCUGCCGGUGGGCUUAGCCCCCCGCGGGCGGCCCAAUCUCAAUCCCACCGCGGUGCUCUUCACUGAGUGUCGAGGUGGGCCGGCACGUUUACUUUGAACAAAUUAGAGUGCUUAAAGCAGGCUAAAACAUCGCCUGAAUACUGUGUGCAUGGAAUAAUGGAAUAGGACCUCGGUUCUAUUUUGUUGGUUUUCGGAACCCCGAGGUAAUGAUUAAUAGGAACGGAUGGGGGCAUUCGUAUUGCGACGUUA